GGUAGGUUAAAGCGGUGUAGCUGGAGCCAAGGGAAACCGAGUCUGAAGAGGGCGAUAAUCAGUAUUUAUAGACCCGAACCCUGGUGAUCUAACCAUGUCCAGGAUGAAGCUUGGGUAACACCAAGUGGAGGUCCGAACCGACCGAUGUUGAAAAAUCGGCGGAUGAGSUGUGGUUAGGGGUGAAAUGCCAAUCGAACCAGGAGCUAGCUGGUUCUCCCCGAAAUGUGUUKAGGCGCAGCGGUAAUGAWUAUAGUCUGGGGGGUAAAGCACUGUUUCGGUGCGGGCUGGGAGACCGGUACCAAAUCGAGACAAACUCWGAAUACCCAGAUGCACACAUUGCCAGUGAGACAGUGGGGGAUAAGCUUCAUUGUCAAGAGGGAAACAGCCCAGACCACCAGCUAAGGUCCCCAAAUCAUCGCUAAGUGAUAAAGGAGGUGAGAGUGCACAGACAACUAGGAGGUUUGCCUAGAAGCAGCCACCCUUGAAAGAGUGCGUAAUAGCUCACUAGUCAAGCGCUCUYGCGCCGAAAAUGAACGGGGCUAAGCGAUGUACCGAAGCUGUGGGAUUACUAAUAAUAAUCGGUAGGGGAGCGUUCCGUCAUAGGUAGAAGCAGUAGCGGCAAGCAGCUGUGGACGAAACGGAAGUGAGAAUGUCGGCUUGAGUAGCGCAAAUGUAUGUGAGAAUCAUACACCCCGAAACCCUAAGGGUUCCAGAGCCAGGUUCGUCCACUCUGGGUUAGUCGGGACCUAAGGCGAGGCCGAACGGCGUAGUCGAUGGACAAAGUGUCAAUAGUCACUUACUGUUCUGUGGGAGCAUAGAUAGGGACGCAUGAAAGAUAGCCACACCCUAAUUGGUUUGGGAGGGGUUUACGAACUCCGAGUGGGGAAGGAUAGUGCCAAGAAAAGCUAUGUAUGUGAUGAAAGCAGAAUACCCGUACCCGAAACCGACACAGGUAGGGAGGUUGAGAAUACCAAGGGGCGCGAGAUAACUCUCUCUAAGGAACUCGGCAAAAUGGCCCCGUAACUUCGGAAGAAGGGGUGCCCACUGUAUAAGUGGGUCGCAGUGAAGAGAUCCAGGCGACUGUUUACCAAAAACACAGGUCUCCGCAAACUCGUAAGAGGACGUAUGGGGGCUGACGCCUGCCCAGUGCCGGAAGGUUAAGGAAGUCGGUCAGCGAAAGUGAAGCUGGCGACCGAAGCCCCGGUGAACGGCGGCCGUAACUAUAACGGUCCUAAGGUAGCGAAAUUCCUUGUCGGGUAAGUUCCGACCCGCACGAAAG
rnacentral:rRNA from 1 species